AUGUGGCUCAGCUGGUAGAGUGCUUGUUUAGCAUGUAUAAGACUCUUGGGUUCAAUUCCCAGCAU
rnacentral:tRNA from 1 species